rnacentral:ncRNA from 1 species
UUAAAAGUGAUGAUAAGAAAUAGUAAGUAAAAAUAAGAUGACAGGAAGUUGCCGGUAACUGAGAGGCGCGAGAUUAUUUUUACUGAAUUCCUCUUUGAACUUCGCACCGAAAAAAGUAGGCUGCGACGGAUGGUGUGCCUUCGUUAAAUGGGCCAGGGUAUAAGUAUUUUUUGUACCUGAUGAGGUAGUUUUGCGCGAGCAGACUAUAAAAAAAGGUGGUAACACGAGUCUAUUUCAGACCCCGUCCUUUCU